GCUGGAGCGCUCUCCCUACAGUGACUUCGUGUUCCUGGAUGCCAUGUUAAAGCAGGGAUAUGUCCACAAGAGAUAUUCAGUUCCCCUCUGGGAUGACACGGAAGAAAUUUGGAAAUAAGGAUUAGCAGGAGAGCUCUGGCUUGUAAGGUAAUUGAAGACAUCGAGUACCUGAAGUUUGACAAGAGGCCAUGGGUGGAGCAAGAUGAUGUUUCUUUCCAUCACUUGAGACUUUA